rnacentral:rRNA from 1 species
GACGAACGCUGGCGGCGUGCUUAACACAUGCAAGUCGAACGGAAGGGCCCUGCUUUUGUGGGGUGCUCGAGUGGCGAACGGGUGAGUAACACGUGAGUAACCUGCCCUUGACUUUGGGAUAACUUCAGGAAACUGGGGCUAAUACCGGAUAGGAGCUCCUGCUGCAUGGUGGGGGGUGGAAAGUUUCGGCGGUUGGGGAUGGACUCGCGGCUUAUCAGCUUGUUGGUGGGGUAGUGGCUUACCAAGGCUUUGACGGGUAGCCGGCCUGAGAGGGUGACCGGCCACAUUGGGACUGAGAUACGGCCCAGACUCCUACGGGAGGCAGCAGUGGGGAAUAUUGCACAAUGGGCGGAAGCCUGAUGCAGCAACGCCGCGUGCGGGAUGACGGCCUUCGGGUUGUAAACCGCUUUCGCCUGUGACGAAGCGUGAGUGACGGUAAUGGGUAAAGAAGCACCGGCUAACUACGUG